rnacentral:rRNA from 1 species
UACGUAGGGCGCAAGCGUUGUCCGGAAUUAUUGGGCGUAAAGAGCUCGUAGGCGGCUUGUCACGUCGGAUGUGAAAGCCCGGGGCUUAACCCCGGGUCUGCAUUCGAUACGGGCUAGCUAGAGUGUCGUAGGGGAGAUCGGAAUUCCUGGUGUAGCGGUGAAAUGCGCAGAUAUCAGGAGGAACACCGGUGGCGAAGGCGGAUCUCUGGGCCAUUACUGACGCUGAGGAGCGAAAGCGUGGGGAGCGAACAGG